GGUACAGCCGCGCGCGGAGAAGCCGCUCCCGCCGUCCCGGAGGUCUGAGCGAGCGCAGUAGCCCCAAAAGAUGUUGCUGGACUGACUUCUGUUCCUGCUGGACAAGGCACUGAGAGGAUGCCAGAGAGAGGGAGACUCGUUCGCUGUGCUGUUCAGUUCAAAAGGACAUACGUCUUGGUAUUCUUCAGCAACGAUUGGAGAAGGGGGAAAAAAGUGGAUUCAAGUGAGUUUGAAAAUGUUGAUUAAAAAUUAAACCACACUAAAC
ensembl:lncRNA